GGAAAAGAAAGACAAACAGGUGGAACCAGCAAAAUCACCGAAGAAGGAACAUUCAGCUGCAAGUGAAAAACAAGUGAAAGCAAAAACUGAACGAACCAAAGAAGAGGUUGGGGCUGCCCCUACUACAAAAGCUGUGCCUAGGAAGACGGAAGAGAAAACAAUGAAGACAGUGGAGCAAGAAAUUAGAAAAGAAAAAUCUGAGAAGACAUCUUCCGCGCUGAAGGAUAAAGAGUCUUAUAAAGGAAAAGACGUAAAGGAUCCGGCUUCCCUGAAGGAAAAAGAACCUCGAAUUAAGAAAGAGGAAAAGACACC